rnacentral:rRNA from 1 species
UACGGGGGGGGCAAGCGUUGUUCGGAAUUACUGGGCGUAAAGGGCUCGUAGGCGGCCAACUAAGUCGGAUGUGAAAUCCCCAGGCUUAACCUGGGAACUGCGUCUGAUACUGGAUGGCUUGAAUCCGGGAGAGGGAUGCAGAAUUCCAGGUGUAGCGGUGAAAUGCGUAGAUAUCUGGAGGAAUACCGGUGGCGAAGGCGGCAUCCUGGACCGGCAUUGACGCUGAGGAGCGAAAGCCAGGGGAGCAAACGGG